GGGUGGGGUACCUAAUGGUGUUCAAGACGAUCAUGCAGUCGAGCGGACAGAUGGGAGCUUGCUCCCUGAUGUUAGCGGCGGACGGGUGAGUAACACGUGGGUAACCUGCCUGUAAGACUGGGAUAACUCCGGGAAACCGGGGCUAAUACCGGAUGGUUGUUUGAACCGCAUGGUUCAGACAUAAAAGGUGGCUUCGGCUACCACUUACAGAUGGACCCGCGGCGCAUUAGCUAGUUGGUGAGGUAACGGCUCACCAAGGCAACGAUGCGUAGCCGACCUGAGAGGGUGAUCGGCCACACUGGGACUGAGACACGGCCCAGACUCCUACGGGAGGCAGCAGUAGGGAAUCUUCCGCAAUGGACGAAAGUCUGACGGAGCAACGCCGCGUGAGUGAUGAAGGUUUUCGGAUCGUAAAGCUCUGUUGUUAGGGAAGAACAAGUGCCGUUCAAAUAGGGCGGCACCUUGACGGUACCUAACCAGAAAGCCACGGCUAACUACGUGCCAGCAGCCGCGGUAAUACGUAGGUUGGCAAAGCGUUGUCCGGGAAUUUAUUAGGCGUAAAAAGGCUCGCAGGCGGCUUCUUAAGUCUGAUGUGAAAGCCCCCCGGCUCAACCGGGGAGGGUCAUUGGAAACUGGGGAACUUGAGUGCAGAAGAGGAGAGUGGAAUUCCACGUGUAGCGGUGAAAUGCGUAGAGAUGUGGAGGAACACCAGUGGCGAAGGCGACUCUCUGGUCUGUAACUGACGCUGAGGAGCGAAAGCGUGGGGAGCGAACAGGAUUAGAUACCCUGGUAGUCCACGCCGUAAACGAUGAGUGCUAAGUGUUAGGGGGUUUCCGCCCCCUUAGUGCUGCAGCUAACGCAUUAAGCACUCCGCCUGGGGAGUACGGGUCGCAAGACUGAAACUCAAAGGAAUUUGACGGGGGCCCGCACAAGCGGUGGGAGCAUGUGGGUUUAAUUUCGAAAGCAACGCGAAGAACCCUUACCAGGUCUUGACAUCCCUCUGAACAAUCCUAGAGAUAGGACGUCCCCUUCGGGGGCAGAGUGACAGGUGGUGCAUGGUUGUCGUCAGCUCGUGUCGUGAGAUGUUGGGUUAAGUCCCGCAACGAGCGCAACCCUUGAUCUUAGUUGCCAGCAUUCAGUUGGGCACUCUAAGGUGACUGCCGGUGACAAACCGGAGGAAGGUGGGGAUGACGUCAAAUCAUCAUGCCCCUUAUGACCUGGGCUACACACGUGCUACAAUGGACAGAACAAAGGGCAGCGAAACCGCGAGGUUAAGCCAAUCCCACAAAUCUGUUCUCAGUUCGGAUCGCAGUCUGCAACUCGACUGCGUGAAGCUGGAAUCGCUAGUAAUCGCGGAUCAGCAUGCCGCGGUGAAUACGUUCCCGGGCCUUGUACACACCGCCCGUCACACCACGAGAGUUUGUAACACCCGGAGUCGGUGAGGUAACCUUUUAGGAGCCAGCCGCCGAAGGUGGGACAGUAUGAUUGGGUGAUUUUUGUGUCUAUUUCCCUAUUUUUGUUUUCCCCC
rnacentral:rRNA from 1 species